GACAGAGGCCCCAAGCGUUAGGCGGAAUCACUGGGCUUAAAGCGUGUGUAGGCGGACGCCUAAGUGUCUUGUGAAAUCCCACGGCUCACCCGUGGAACUGCUGGGCAUACUGGGCGUCUUGGGCCAACUAGGGGCAGCCGGAACAAGCGGUGGAGCGGUGAAAUGCGUAGAUAUGUGGAGGAAUACCGGUGGCGAAGGCGGCCUCCUGGUUCAAUACUGACGCUGAGGUGCGAAAGCGUGGGGAGCAAACAGG
rnacentral:rRNA from 1 species